UACAGGGGGUGCAAACGUUGCUCGGAAUUACUGGGCGUAAAGCGAGUGUAGGCGGUUUGGUUAGUCGGAUGUGAAAGCCCCGGGCUCAACCCGGGAAGUGCACUCGAUACUGCCAAGCUAGAGUAUCGGAGAGGUUGGUGGAAUUCUCGGUGUAGAGGUGAAAUUCGUAGAUAUCGAGAGGAACACCGGUGGCGAAGGCGGCCAACUGGACGAAUACUGACGCUGAGACUCGAAAGCGUGGGGAGCAAACAGG
rnacentral:rRNA from 1 species